UGCGUAGGCGGACUAAUCAGUCAGUGGUGAAAUCUCUCGGCUCAACCGGGAAACUGCCAUUGAUACUGUUAGUCUUGAGUUCGGUUGAGGUAGGCGGAAUGUGUAAUGUAGCGGUGAAAUGCUUAGAUAUUACACAGAACACCAAUUGCGUAGGCAGCUUACUAGACCGACACUGACGCUGAGGCACGAAAGCGUGGGUAGCGAACAGGAUUAGAUACCCUGGUAGUCC
rnacentral:rRNA from 1 species